CCUAUUUACUAUUUUAAGUUGCCAAGCAAUGAAAGAGAGCACCAAAAGAUUCAGAACGAAUAAACUACUGCUUCACUGGUAACAGUGAAGUUGGUAUGACAGUGAAAGGUGGCCCGAACAGAUCAAUCGUCAUUCUUCGGCUGUAUUCGGAAUAAGUUCGAGCGCCGUAUGCAAUAAUGGGGAGCAUAAGGCUCACGUCUUACAACAAGCAAGGUAAUUAUUUCUCCAAACAAUUAUUACUCAUCUUCUUUUCGUUUUGACUUAUUUGUUGCAAUAUUAACAUCAAUCAGUUACUAAGGACAUACAUCCGGGUAAGGAUCGAGUAUAUCAGCUAGUUAUAAUGCUACUGUGACAUUAUUCAUCAAUUCACGAUUACUAUUCUUAAUCAAUU
rnacentral:misc_RNA from 1 species